rnacentral:misc_RNA from 1 species
GGACGUUCCGUUGCCCAAAAGUUGCAAGACUUUUUGGAUAAGCUGACGGAACCAUGUAUAGACAUCUUAUUAGAACAAAGGUUGCAGGCCAGUCAGCCUGACAACCGUGCAUGAUAAUGCAGGGACUGCCGCCUACGUUUCUCUUUCUUUGAUGUUUUUGUAAGCGCUCACGCCGCUCGCGCGGUUUUUUGCAAGCGCUCACGCACGUACGCCCUUCGGGCUGUGCUCCGCGAGGGCCUCGCAACGGCUCGGACGCGCUAGCGCGCUGUACUGGCGCCUGUUCGUCAAUGCUGUUUGCGCUGGCGUCUUGAGGGCUUGUAGCUCAGUUGGUUAGAGCGCGCGCUUGAUAAGCGUGAGGUCGGAGGUUCAAGUCCUCCCAGGCCCACCAUAUUCCUUACCGCUUUCGCAGGUACGCCCUAUCGGGCUGUGCUGCGCGAGCACGCGGCAUAGGCCGCGACGGCCAAGUCGGCCUUGCGAAGCUUCGCUUCGCAUACCUUUACGGGGGCGUAGCUCAGCUGGGAGAGCACCUGCUUUGCAAGCAGGGGGUCGUCGGUUCGAUCCCGUCCGCCUCCACCAAGGACUUUUGGGCAGCGAAAUCAAAAACAUCACUUAAAGAAUAAAGUUUGCAAGCGUCGGGCAUUUGUCCGGCGGUUGCUUGUUCUGUAUGAAAUAGUGAAGAGAAGAUAUGUCCGGAUUAUCUGGAUGUUCAGGUUUGUACUCCAAGUACAGACCGCUAGGUCGUCGCAGCUUGCUGCGCGCUUAGUGCAGGCCGUUGCGGCCGUGAACGCCAGGUAAUGUCGCAUGGGGCGCUCAUUAAACCCCAUGCCUAUGAUUGGCCGCUUAACCGCAGAGCCAUCGGAUUUAUCUCGAGAAGCUGGUCUUUUUUGUCAAAUUCGUCGAUUGCUGAAUGGUUUGUCGUGCUGUUGGUAUCCCCCACAGGCGCGGAUUGUUCGUGAAGGCAAGGAUGGAUAUUGGCAAUGAGAAUGAUCAAGUGUCUUAAGGGCAUUUGGUGGAUGCCUUGGCAUGCACAGGCGAUGAAGGACGUGAUACGCUGCGAUAAGCGUCGGGAGUGCGAAU